AGGAGGGCUGGUCCAUUACUUGU
rnacentral:miRNA from 1 species